rnacentral:pre_miRNA from 7 species
ACCCUGCUUUACCUAAUUUGUUGUCCAUCAUGUAAAACAUAAAUGAUGAUAGACACCAUAUAAGGUAGAGGAAGGUUCACU